rnacentral:lncRNA from 1 species
GCUGAAGCGAUCCUCCCACCUCAACCUCCCACGUGGCUGAGACUACAGGUGCUUGCCACUAUGCCCAACUAAUAUUUGGAAUUUUCGUAUACGUGGAUUCCAGAGGGGUGACAGCAAAACGUGGGAACAUCCAGUUGCAGGAAAACAAGCUUAACACGCCCACUGAUUCUACAUUAUGCUCCUACCUCCCGGCAGCCUCUCCAGGCCGAGAACUUUCUCCAGUCAGCCUCUACAGACCAAGCUCAUGACUCACAAUGGCCUAUUUAGGCCCAUACCCUACGUCACGGCAGCCUCCGCAGAUGAGCCUACUGCCUCACAACAGCCUCCACAGGCACAGCUCCAUCGUUACAAUGGCCUCUUUAGACCCAGCUCCUGCCUCCCAGCCUUCUCUCCAGGCUCUGAACUUUCUCAGUAAGUUCAGGUAGCUGGGACUGUAGGGUCUCCCUCUGUUGUCCAAGGCUGGAGUGUAGUAGUGCUA